CUAAGUAAGGUAGGUGUGAAAACUCCAGGCUCAACCUGGAGACGCCACCUGAUACUGCUGUGGCUAGAGUCCGGUAGGGGAGCAUGGAAUUCCUGGUGUAGCGGUGAAAUGCGCAGAUAUCAGGAGGAACACCAGUGGCGAAGGCGGUGCUCUGGGCCGGAACUGACGCUGAGGAGCGAAAGCGUGGGGAGCAAACAG
rnacentral:rRNA from 1 species